UAAAAACACAGCACUCUGCAAACACGAAAGUGGACGUAUAGGGUGUGACGCCUGCCCGGUGCUGGAAGAUUAAAUGAUGGGGUGCAAGCUCUUGAUUGAAGUCCCAGUAAACGGCGGCCGUAACUAUAACGGUCCUAAGGUAGCGAAAUUCCUUGUCGGGUAAGUUCCGACCUGCACGAAUGGCGUAACGAUGGCCACACUGUCUCCUCCCGAGACUCAGCGAAGUUGAAAUGUUUGUGAUGAUGCAAUCUACCCGCGGCUAGACGGAAAGACCCCAUGAACCUUUACUGUAGCUUUGCAUUGGACUUUGAAUCAAUCUGUGUAGGAUAGGUGGGAGGCUUUGAAGCGGGGACGCUAGUUCUCGUGGAGCCAACCUUGAAAUACCACCCUGGUUCAUUUGAGGUUCUAACCUUGGUCCGUUAUCCGGAUCGGGGACAGUGCAUGGUAGGCAGUUUGACUGGGGCGGUCUCCUCCUAAAGUGUAACGGAGGAGUUCGAAGGUACGCUAAUUACGGUCGGACAUCGUGAUGAUAGUGCAAUGGCAUAAGCGUGCUUAACUGCGAGACCGACAAGUCGAGCAGGUACGAAAGUAGGACAUAGUGAUCCGGUGGUUCUGUAUGGAAGGGCCAUCGCUCAACGGAUAAAAGGUACUCUGGGGAUAACAGGCUGAUUCCUCCCAAGAGUUCAUAUCGACGGGGGAGUUUGGCACCUCGAUGUCGGCUCAUCACAUCCUGGGGCUGUAGCCGGUCCCAAGGGUAUGGCUGUUCGCCAUUUAAAGUGGUACGUGAGCUGGGUUUAAAACGUCGUGAGACAGUUUGGUCCCUAUCUGCCGUGGGCGUUGGAAAUUUGAAGGGGGCUGCUCCUAGUACGAGAGGACCGGAGUGGACGAACCUCUGGUGUACCGGUUGUCACGCCAGUGGCAUUGCCGGGUAGCUAAGUUCGGAAGAGAUAACCGCUGAAAGCAUCUAAGCGGGAAACUUGCCUUGAGAUGAGAUUUCCCAGAGCCUUGAGCUCUUUAAAGGGUCGUUCGAGACCAGGACGUUGAUAGGCUGGGUGUGGAAGUGCAGUAAUGCAUUAAGCUAACCAGUACUAAUUGCCCGUACGGCUUGUCCCU
rnacentral:rRNA from 1 species